rnacentral:rRNA from 1 species
CAAUACGGGGCUUAUGUCUUGUAAUUGGAAUGAUGGGAAUCUAAACCCCUUCCAGAGUAACAAUUGGAGGGCAAGUCUGGUGCCAGCAGCCGCGGUAAUUCCAGCUCCAAUAGCGUAUAUUAAACUUGUUGCAGUUAAAAAGCUCGUAGUUGAAUUUCUGCGUUGACUGCGUCCGGCUUUGUGCGGCUUGGUUGGGUUUCGAUUAUUCGUUUUACUUUGAGAAAAUUAGAGUGCUUGAAGCAGGCUUUUGCCUUGAAUACUUUAGCAUGGAAUAACGGAGUAGGACUUUGGUUCUAUUUUG